rnacentral:rRNA from 1 species
UACGUAGGCAGCGAGCGUUGUUCGGAGUUACUGGGCGUAAAGGGUGUGUAGGCGGUUCUCUAAGUUUGGUGUGAAAUCCCCCGGCUCAACCGGGAGGGUGCGCCGAAAACUGGAGGGCUAGAGUGCGGGAAGGGAGAGUAGAAUUCCUGGUGUAGCGGUGAAAUGCGUAGAUAUCAGGAGGAAUACCGGUGGUGUAGACGGCUCUCUGGACCGCGACUGACGCUGAGACACGAAAGCGUGGGUAGCAAACAGG